rnacentral:rRNA from 1 species
UACGAAGGGGGCUAGCGUUGUUCGGAAUUACUGGGCGUAAAGGGCGCGUAGGCGGUGUGUCAAGUCAGGCGUGAAAGCCCCGGGCUCAACCUGGGAACCGCGCUUGAGACUGGCACGCUAGGAGUUCGGGAGAGGAUGGUGGAAUUCCCAGUGUAGAGGUGAAAUUCGUAGAUAUUGGGAAGAACACCGAUGGCGAAGGCAGCCAUCUGGACCGACACUGACGCUGAGGCGGCGAAAGCGUGGGGAGCAAACAGGG